CCGCUCAGACUAGUGGUUUACGGGUCGGAUUUAGCGAUCGGGUCGGAUUGAACAGUCGGAAAUGUUGAUGUUUAGGACUUGUUAUACAGUUAACGUAGUGUUUUUGCACCGAAUAUUUUAGUAGCAGUGUGCGUGUACAUCUGGCAACAAAUUCCCAUGAAUUAACAUGACAAUUUAAUUACAUUUUACCCGACAAAUGCAUAUUUCGCUCUUUGAAAUAGGUAAAAACCAGCUUUUUAUAGUCUACAAGCAAAAUUUGUGCUACUGAAGAAUUUUCCAACCACAUGCGUAUUGCCUAAUCUGUAACGAUACCUAAAUAUAGUACCACAAAAUUGUUGGGAGCAUUCUUUACCAGUACUGCAAAUUUUACUACCCUAUAGAGGAGAUAGACCACCGUAACAUAGCAUAUUGAUUAUUGACCAGCAUUAUUUGCAAGGGCACUUGCUUGUACAUGUACCAGUCAAGUAACACAAUAAUCAGAGUAGUAGUUUACAGUCAAACUACUUUUUCUAUUAUUUAUCUUGGAGGAUUGUUCAACACAUUUGGCAGCAAAAACAACAAAAGUUAUGAGAACAACAAAAGUUAUGCAUUUAAUUCAAAAUGGUAGAGUGACUGAAGUGAUGAGAUUAAAGAAUGCAAAUGAGCAAAAGAAACCAUCAACACCACGAGAACAACAUCUUGUGAAACAGGAAGAAUGAAGUUUUACUGAUGAUGGUUUAACAAGCUAAUUUGUUUAUAUUUUAUUAUGAUCGAUUAUGCGACAGAAACGCUGCUUUAUUUAAUAAUGUCAGAGCUUUAUUGCUACUUCCUUCGAAAAACAUCAUUAAAACAGUGUUUGUGAUGUAAAAGUAUUUCUGACUUCUUUGUCAAAGUGUAUUUGGUUGUCUGUAUGAAGUAUGUGGUAUGAUACCCAAAUUUUAUGUCUGAAUAAACUUCUGUUUUGUGCAGAUUAA